rnacentral:rRNA from 1 species
GUUGUAUGGUUAAGUGACUAAGCGUACACGGUGGAUGCCUUGGCAGUCAGAGGCGAUGAAAGACGUAGUAACUUGCGAUAAGCCCAGAUUAGGUAGUAACAACCAUUUGAGUCUGGGAUUUCUGAAUGGGGAAACCCACUUACAUAAGUAAGUAUCAUUAACUGAAUACAUAGGUUAA